GGGCCCGUAGUCCAGUGGUUAAGACGCUACCCUUACAAGGUAGAGAUCGAGGGUUCGAAUCCCUCCGGGCCCA
rnacentral:tRNA from 1 species